rnacentral:rRNA from 1 species
UACGGAGGGGGCUAGCGUUGUUCGGAAUUACUGGGCGUAAAGCGCACGUAGGCGGACCAGAAAGUCAGAGGUGAAAUCCUGGGGCUCAACCCCAGAACUGCCUUUGAAACUCCUGGUCUUGAGGUCGAGAGAGGUGAGUGGAAUUCCGAGUGUAGAGGUGAAAUUCGUAGAUAUUCGGAGGAACACCAGUGGCGAAGGCGGCUCACUGGCUCGAUACUGACGCUGAGGUGCGAAAGCGUGGGGAGCAAAC